rnacentral:tRNA from 1 species
GUACAUAUAGUUCAGCGGUAGAACGAUGCUAUGGUAUGGCGUAAGUCGGGGUCCGACUCCCCAUGGGUCCA